UACAGAGGUCUCGAGCGUUAAUCGGAGUCACUGGGCUUAAAGGGUGCGUAGGCGGGUCUACAAGUGCUUUGUGAAAUCCCAUGGCUUAACCAUGGAACUGCUUGGCAGACUGUAGAUCUUGAGGUCGGUAGAGGCUGCUGGAACUCUAGGUGGAGCGGUGAAAUGCGUAGAUAUCUAGAGGAACGCCGAUGGUGAAGACAGGCAGCUGGGCCGAUUCUGACGCUGAGGCACGAAAGCGUGGGGAGCGAACGGG
rnacentral:rRNA from 1 species